AAUAUUUGCAAUCAAACCAGGGCCUUUAAGCAUAAAAGCAUGGCUUUAAUUAGAAAAGGCAGCACCAGCAGGCUAACGUGUCUGAAUGAUCUUAAUUAUUACUUAACCUCUUGGUUGAGGAGCCAUGAAAUGGAAACAAUAGUAUUCGCUAAAGUAAGGGAUAUUAACUCACCACCUUGGUUUUUUGUUUUUUCCUUUAGUUUCUCCAAUUUGAUUUCUUCAAGUGUUUUUAUUCCAAAAUUUAAGUUCUCCUCUGAAAACAGAAAAUGGUUAAUGAAGCUGAGGCUUAAAGGCACAUCUUGAAGAGCACACAUCCUCAAGCUGCUUACAGCUCAGAACCCUUCCAAAGUCUUCCAAAUCAACCCUCUCAACACUCCCCACAAGUCAAAAAAGCCAUAGAACGCAUGGGCGUUUUGGUAAGCAAUUGGCACCUUUCUUCACCCCUCUUCCCGUCCUACAGAGUAAAACCUACCGUUUUAAGCGUUUUAAUCCAUCUACACGAUGUUAGAUUCCUCUGUCAUUAGACAUGGCUUCCCACAAUGUUUGAAAGGACACAUUUGCAGGCAUUUAAACUCCACGCUGUGGCUCUAUUUUGUUUUACAAAAGUCAACAAGGAGGAGUUGACCUGUCUGACCCAAGGGACGCACGACAUCAUUAGACGGGAAUGAGCCCGUGGAAAUAACUGACUCCAUCCAGCUACCCUAUCUUCUAUCGUAGUUUUAGAACAUAUCGCUUUGGAGUUAAUCGUCAAGUUCUCCUUCCAAUCCAUCCUACUACAGCUGCUCGAA